AGGACGAACGCUGGCGGCGUGCUUAACACAUGCAAGUCGAGCGGAAAGGCCCUUCGGGGUACUCGAGCGGCGAACGGGUGAGUAACACGUGAGCAACCUGCCCUCAGCUCUGGGAUAGCUCCCGGAAACGGGAAUUAAUACCGGAUACGACCCCGACCGACAUCGGUCAGGGUGGAAAGUUUUUCGGCUGAGGAUGGACUCGCGGCCUAUCAGCUAGUUGGUGGGUAACGGCCCACCAAGGCGACGACGGGUAG
rnacentral:rRNA from 1 species